ensembl:lncRNA
AGCUGGAAGAGCAUUUGUUUCUAUAUCUCUACUCACCCGUGGAAACUCGGCUCCUUGUGGAAGGGAAACCAGGCAUGAGAGGAGUGUAAAAACCUGUCCUGAUAACCAGGACAUUUAGUCGUUAGUAACACUUUUUCUUUCUUGGUGGUGAUCCAAUCUGGCUUUGAGACACUGCUGCUGAUUCAGAGGGGAGCUGCGACCUGGGAGUGCUAGCAUUCAGUGAAGAACAGAAGAAGAGCUGAAUUUUGAACACAGUGAGGCAUAAAGGCUCGUGUUUCAUGACUUGUUUGGAAAUGAGCACACAGCACCAUGAUCUGUCAGCAAGGUCUCACAGCUCAGGCUCUGCAAAUGCAACUGUACAGUAACCAGCCUUCAUCAAGCACUGAGUCAUUCGACCUAAAGCUCUGGUCUCUGCUGGCUGAAAGUAUCAUGGCACCUCGAAGCUUUUCUUUAGUUCUUUUGUGACUUGUUUUGAGAAAUCUGCUGAGAUUUUCAAAGUUGUUAAACAGUAUAAAACCACAUCAUUUUCAUAUAGUUUCAGGUUUCAUUGCUAUCCUUCCAGGCAACUCCUGAGUAAGAUGCAG